rnacentral:rRNA from 1 species
GGCGAACGGGUGAGUAAUACAUCGGAACGUGCCCAGUUAGUGGGGGAUAGCCCGGCGAAAGCCGGAUUAAUACCGCAUACGACCUACGGGUGAAAGCGGGGGACCGCAAGGCCUCGCGCUAUCGGAGCGGCCGAUGUCAGAUUAGGUAGUUGGUGAGGUAAAGGCUCACCAAGCCUGCGAUCUGUAGCUGGUCUGAGAGGACGACCAGCCACACUGGGACUGAGACACGGCCCAGACUCCUACGGGAGGCAGCAGUGGGGAAUUUUGGACAAUGGGCGCAAGCCUGAUCCAGCCAUGCCGCGUGCGGGAAGAAGGCCUUCGGGUUGUAAACCGCUUUUGUCAGGGAAGAAACGCCUCGGGCUAAUACCUCGAGGUAAUGACGGUACCUGAAGAAUAAGCACCGGCUAACUACGUGCCAGCAGCCGCGGUAAUACGUAGGGUGCGAGCGUUAAUCGGA